AGCCAAAAUGAUGUGCAUAUUGGAGAAAUGACAGUAAAAGAAACCCUCGAUUUCUCAGCUAGAUGUCAAGGAGUUGGAACACGAUAUGACCUAUUAGCCGAGCUUGCUCGAAGGGAAAAAGAAGCUGGAAUAUUUCCAGAGGCAGAACUCGAUCUUUUCAUGAAGGCCACUGCAAUGGAGUGAACAAAAAGCAGUCUC